CAGUCGCCACGGGAAAACGUAGGGGGCAAGCGUUAUCCGGAAUUACUGGGUGUAAAGGGAGCGUAGACGGUUAAACAAGUCUGAAGUGAAAUGCCGGGGCUCAACCCCGGAGCUGCUUUGGGAACUGUAGAACUGGAGUGUCGGAGGGGUAAGCGGAAUUCCCAGUGUAGCGGUGAAGUGCGUAGAUAUUGGGAGGAACACCGGCGGCGAAGGCGGCUUACUGGACGACAACUGACGUUGAGGCUCGAAGGCGUGGGUAGCAAACAGGAUUAGAUACCCGCGUAGUCCCUGUCUCUUAUAC
rnacentral:rRNA from 1 species